AACGAACGCUGGCGGCAUGCCUAACACAUGCAAGUCGAACGAAGUCUUCGGACUUAGUGGCGCACGGGUGCGUAACGCGUGGGAAUCUGCCCUUGGGUGCGGAAUAACUUCUCGAAAGGGAUGCUAAUACCGCAUAAUGUCGUAAGACCAAAGAUUUAUCGCCCAAGGAUGAGCCCGCGUAAGAUUAGCUAGUUGGUGAGGUAAAAGCCUACCAAGGCGACGAUCUUUAGCUGGUCUGAGAGGAUGAUCAGCCACACUGGGACUGAGACACGGCCCAGACUCCUACGGGAGGCAGCAGUGGGGAAUAUUGGACAAUGGGCGAAAGCCUGAUCCAGCAAUGCCGCGUGAGUGAUGAAGGCCCUAGGGUUGGUAAAGCUCUUUUACCUAGGGAUGAUAAUGACAGUACCUGGAGAAUAAGACUCCGGCUAACUCCGUGCCAGCAGCCGCGGUAAU
rnacentral:rRNA from 1 species